GGGGCGGGGCGCGGAGCCGGGCGCCGAACCGCCGGGAGCGCCCGAGUAGCCACCGCCGCCGACACCGUCGGGGGCCUGGCGCGCCCCGCCAGCCCGGGCCGGUGGGUGCCACGGCCGGCCGGCCGCGGAACAUGGCGCCCUGUACGCUCUGGCGCUGCUGCCAGCGCACCGUGGGCUGGGUGCCUGUGCUGUUCAUCACCUUCGUUGUCGUGUGGUCCUACUACGCGUACGUGGUGGAGCUGUGCGUGUUUACACUUUCUGGAAAUGGAGAAAAUGGAAAGGCCGUUGUUUACCUUGUGGCUUUCCAUCUGUUCUUUGUUAUGUUUGUAUGGUCCUAUUGGAUGACAAUUUUCACAUCUCCCGCUUCCCCCUCCAAAGAGUUCUGCUUGUCCAAUUCUGAGAAGGAACGUUAUGAAAAGGAAUUCAGCCAAGAAAGACAACAAGAAAUUUUGAGAAGAGCAGCAAGGGACUUACCUAUCUAUACCACAUCGGCUUCAAAGACCGUCAGAUAUUGUGAAAGAUGUCAGCUGAUUAAGCCUGACCGUGCGCAUCACUGCUCAGCAUGUGACAUGUGUAUUCUUAAGAUGGACCAUCACUGUCCUUGGGUGAAUAACUGUGUGGGAUUUUCUAAUUACAAAUUCUUCCUGCUCUUUUUAUUCUACUCUCUGUUAUAUUGCCUUUUUGUGGCUACAACAGUUUUACAGUACUUCAUAAAAUUUUGGACGAAUGAACUCACAGAUACACGUGCAAAGUUCCACGUACUUUUUCUUUUCUUUGUGUCUACGAUGUUCUUCAUCAGCGUAUUGUCACUUCUCAGCUACCACUGCUGGCUAGUUGGAAAAAACAGAACAACCAUAGAAUCAUUCCGUGCACCCAUGUUUUCAUAUGGAGCUGAUGGAAAUGGUUUCUCACUUGGAUGCAGUAAAAACUGGAGACAAGUCUUUGGCGAUGAAAAGAAAUAUUGGCUGCUUCCAGUAUUUUCAAGCCAGGGUGAUGGCUGCAGUUUUCCGACUCGCCUUGUGGGGACGGAUCCAGAGCAAGCUUCUGUCUCAAACCAAAGUGAAAGUGCCAGAAGUAUUGGCUCAAAUCAGCCCUUUCCUAUCAAACCGCUUAGUGAAUCAAAAAACCGCCUGUUGGACAGUGACCCUCAGUGGCUGGAGAGUGGAUCUGAAGAAGGUGUUGGCGGAUCAGGGACAAAUAACCAUGUAACAGUGGCAAUAGAAAACUGAGUACCACUUGUUCAUAACUAACCAAUUGAAUAAGAGCAAGGGGAAAAGGUGACUUUUGCCCAGUGCUGAAGAAAUUUGAUCCAGAGAAGAGUGACUAAGACUUAAGAGGUUUAUAAAAACAUUGUGGACUGAUAUUUUCUGUUUUAUUUGCAAGAAAAUGAUCAAUGGGAUGAAAUAAUUGAAGUAUAAACGAAGAUCUAUUUUUUAAAAAAGGAAACCUUUGUACAGAUUGCUGGAUCCACAGAAGCACUGCUCCAGAGCGGGAAGAUGCCUUAAUCUUAAAUGAGCCCAUUUGUUCAGCACUGACUCACAGCUACAAGAGACUUCAUUUUCCUUUGGAAGUAACAUUUUCUCAUAAUAACAUGAGAUGCCAUAAUAUGAGCUAUCAGGUCACAUGUUAACAUGACAUAUGCAUUUUUUUGAUACCUGGGUUACAUUAUUAGAGUUGUUUCUUAGUAUCCAUAUAAAUUUUCACUCUAGAAACACAAGCUAAAAACUUAAGUACAUCUAGGUCAGGAUGGUGGCUGAAAAUGAAUAAUAAUAUGCAAAUUACUGCUGCUUGUACUGUGUAAGAAAGAAAAUAACUGCUUUUUUAAAAAAAAGAUUUGGUGUUUGCUAAUUUAUAGUUAACUGUUUUAUACUUUUCAACAUUUUUAACAAAGAUUUUUUUAUUGUUGGCUAUAAAUUAACACUCAGAAGGAUUUAGAUACCUAAAUAUAAUCAUUUGGAGCACAUCUGUAUAAUUCAUUGAAGGCUUAGUUCUAAGCAUUAAUUAAACCAUGUGUAGUUUUGUGCCCAAGGCUUAAAGAAAAUUUGGCAGUGUAAGAAAUUUUUCAUUUGUGUUUGCUUUUAAUGCACUUUUUUGUUGAACUUUCAUGGGUAUUUAUACGGGUAGGGAAACAAAGGUUACAUGUGCUAUAGAAAUACUGGACACAGUAGGAUUGAGUUGAAGUGACUAGAAGAAAAAAGAGAAUCUAUAAGUAAGCUGUUAGAAUAUGUUUUCAGUGUUACCUGCUGUUGACUUUCAAAUUUCAAGUCAAGACUGAUAUUUGCUUUGAAACUUUUUACAUUAAUCCCGUAACAGCUUAGACAGCAACUUAAAAUGCAUUUGAACGGAGGGUAAAACUGUUCAGUGUAACAGUUAACCCUAGCCACUGUCAAGAAACAAAUUCUCACCUGAGCAGUCAUUCAAAACUUCCAUUCUCUAAGAGGUGGAUUUCACUUUUAUAUGCAGGAUUUUAAAUCUGACUUCCUAACAGCAACCCUUCUGCCUAGACGCUUAUCCCCUUUUCCUUUUGAAGUCUAAUCUACGUGACAGAAAUUGCUGCAUUAACUCUAAAGAUUAGAAUUCGUAUCCUAUAAGGAGGAACAAUGUACUGAUGUUACUCCUGUUUAUACUGUUCGGUCAAAACUGAUUGAUUGCUGCUGGAAGUGGGUAGAUUUUAACCAGCAUCUAUAAAUAUCCCAGUUAGUUUUCUCAUCUGUAAAAUGGGAGUGGGGGAAGGUGUGUUAUAAAUGAUUUGGAUGGGACAACCUUUAACAUUCUUCGAUUUCUAAUUCUGCACAAUACCUUACUUUACAUUUGUCCCACAAAUAUUUUUGGACGUCAAACAGUAUACUAGGGAUAGCUCUGUAAUUUCCUAAUGUAGCAUAAAUCUUGUAGCCAUCUAUUGCAGGUUUACAGUUUACAGGAUUUGUCUAACUUCAUGGGCUAUAUUACUAGAUUUUAAAAGGAAGUAAUUUUUUUCCCCUUCGAACUAGAGGAAUGAGUUAGCUUUGAAAAUACAAUUUGGAAUACUAUAAUACGGCUUCUACCUUUAUUUCAACACGGUAGUCUUAAUAAUCUUGAUUCUAGAAAAUGUUUAUGAGAGUUAAGGGGUAUCAGUUUCCAACCAGAAACAUCACUUUAGUCUGGCAGUUUGCCUAUUAUAAGGAAAUGUCAAAUGUUUAAAUGUAUAUGCCUGCUUUCAGAAAUGUCCUCCUGGUACUUUUUAUGGACAUUUCUAUAUUCAAGUCAAAAGAUUUGCAUGCACCUGAUUAACAACUGAGGAAACUUAAUUUUCCCCUUAACCUAUCUUGGUGCUUUAAGUUCUUUCAAUUUCUGUCAUUUAAUAUCAUCUUUUUUAAUAACAUAGUAUACACCUUUUCAGAAAUUUUCAGCUAAAGCCUUUGUUACCUUUGGUUUAAUUAAUUUAUGGCCAAUGUCUGCCACGUUUUAAAUAAUAAUUGACCAAGUUUAUUCAUACAUGUUAAUGACUAUUCAGCAAGGGCCUGCAGUGGGAUGGGAACCAAGGAAAGGCUGUCUCCUUGGUAUUUCAGCUGCUACAGAUCAGUGCUGCCAACCUUUGGGGUGAAAUGGUCAAAAUGAAGCCCUGUCAAAAUUUACUAGUACCAUCUUUGUUGCUUCAAGCACUUGAACAGUUGUGAUAUUUAAGGAAAGGAAAGUUGAAUUUCAGGUCUUGCCAUUGCCAUUAAAAACAAAUUAAGACAGGAAACUUGGUUUUACCUGGGUACAAACUGACUUGAAUAUUCAGUACCUGAGACAUCUGACCACUGUCACUGUGCCAAACCAAAGAGCAGCUGCAGCUUAGUGGUCACUAAACUUGCACCGCUUACAAAAGCAGUUUCAUCUUUGCAUGUGAAAGUUUUUUUUUAAUCCUUUUACAUAUUUAGUGGUUAUGACCCAGUGUGUCCUAAAAGUUAAUUGAACUUAGCUUAAAUCAAAUAUGCAAUGUUUACUUGAAUUUUAUUUCUGUUGAAAGCAGAUUUUGACUGUUUGUCCCAUUGCUUAAAUUACAGAUUUUCAGUUAUGUGAGAUUUCCCUUCCAUCAUCUUUAAAGCAGAUGCAUAUAAGGGCUUAGUGUUAGGAUCUGCGUAUUUGCAGCGCUGAAGACAAAUGACUUACAAAUGUUUUCUUACAUGUUGUUCUAGGACUAGCACUGCUACCAAUGCAAAGUAUUUUUAACUAACCUGUUGAGAAAUUAACCAUAUUUUUGCAUUUCAGCCAAAAUAAAGACCAUAUUUAAUAUUCUGAUACAGCUAAUAUGUAAACCUGAAAUCAUGUUUCAUAUGAUCUGAACUGUAUUUUCCAAUUUCAAUUUAAAAUGCAAUAUAGAUUCAGAAAGGUCCAUAUUUUUCUAACGACUUCACUUUAUAUUUUGUUGAGUUGCAUAAAGCAGCAAGGAACUGUAUUUGUAUUAAAAGCUUCAGAAAGUGAUUAGUUGAGUUUAUCAUAUUUGUACGAUUGCAGAUGAGUCUAUGCCCAUAAGAUGGACACUAUUUUAAGGUGAUCUUUAAUGUUUUUAUAUAAAAGAAUUUGGAAUACAGUUUGUUUUAACAAGUCCCAUAAGUCUUGUAUUUGUUUCUCAUGAGUGUAACCCUGGACCAUGACUUUGAUAUCUUUGCUUUUUUGUCUUUGGGUGGCCUAACCUACAUUAACGUGAAGGUUGAACAUUUUAAAACUUUUCUCCCAAAAUCAUGAUGAUGAUUUACUUUAUUAAUAAAUAAAGUCCUGUAUUUGAA